rnacentral:misc_RNA from 1 species
AGGUAAUUUUGUAUGUGGCCAAAAUAACUCAAAAUACAGUGACUGAGCUCCUUUAAUCUCUUGUUAUCAAUAGCGCUGUCAGGCUGUGUGGCCGAUCCAAUGGUUGGAGGCUGUAACAUGACACAUUUCAUAUCAGGCGGACAGAAAUGCCAGAGGAAGAUGAUGGCCGAUCUCAAACACAAACCCAACACUAACUGCAGUAUUGAAUACCAGCAUCAAACUUCAUGCUUAACCGAGCAUUUGACAUCUUGCUUGACUGGUCUCCUGUCUGGCUUUGUCCCUGCUGUCAGGUCGUUAAUAGAGAUGUUAUUUUACCACUGUGGUGAUCUCAAGGUGGACCCCUCUGUGAUAAACCAGUUCUUGCUCAACACGAUUCAAUGUAAGGGAGAAGUUUUUACAAAAACUGUGGGAUGCUGGAAUGAUUUUCGCCUCCGAUUCGACCAGGACAAGACAGAUCCUCUACUUUGCAGGGACUAUGCUGUUGCAAAGGAAUGCGUGACAGAGGAGGCCAAAACUGGUUGUGCAAUAGGACAGUACAUCAACAGGGAUUUGUUUAACCCCUUCUGUACCUACAAUACAGAUCCACCGCUGAACAGCUCGAAACCGACUGUUUUGAUUGGGCGUUGCAGCACUCAAACCUUUGCUUCAUCAGCAUAUAAAUGUCAACGGGAAAUGAUAACAACGUUAGCAGAGAAAAACAGUGAAACCUGCCGGUAAUUUUAAUAUUAAGUUUAUUGGAUCCGAACUUUACUUUCAGCAAUUGUACUCUGAGAUCAUUUUGCAGCCUUCGAAGGCAAGCGGCUUUGAGACAAUAUGUUACCUGUCAAAUCUAGCAUCUAACAAGUAACGUAUUACCCCUUGUCUGCAUUAGGCAAAUUAUGCGUGCUGAUAUUUGAACUUGGACAAUAUAUAGAAUUCAAUAAUCCCACUCACAUUUAUUUUUGGAAGAUAACGGUGCUUAUCAGGUGAUUAUACUUAUUUCUGAUUACUUUUAUAAUCUCUUUAUAAUCCAGACAGAAGUAUAGUAAACUGGAAUUUUGCUUGUCAUCAACCAUGGAGACCUGUCUUACGGGUACAUCACUUUCUCCAUUUAAAGAUGAAGUCCGUCGAUUGGUGCAAACAGUGUUGUAUCACUGCGGAACUCUUACCGCUGAUGGAAUCUCUGUAAACUCACUCCUAGUUGGCGCCCUCAAUUGUAACGAAACUAUGUUUCAAACCGCUGUCCGGUGCUGGGACGACUUUCGACUCCGACUGAUCCUUAAUAGGCUCGACAAGCAACUUUGCGUAGAUUAUGCUCGAUCCAAACUGUGUGUCUCAAUGGCAGUCCACAGUGGCUGUGCCAUAGGAGAUCUCAUGGAGGAUGACCUUUAUAACCCAUUUUGUACAGAUGGUAUAGAUCCGCUCAGCCUACCAUUUACCCCAGCUCUCACCUCGAGACGGUUUACGUUUGUGUGCGAUAAUGAUUUAUUUUACAAGAGGGCGAUCGUCUGCGAAAAUAUUUUCCUUGAAGCCAUUUAUUCAACUCAAGUGGCAACUAGUUGUAGGUAAGCUUUGAAGGCAUCAAUUGAUAUUAAACUGAUAACUAUAAUCUCAUUUGUGAUGCAUCAGAAGCAUUGUAUGGAGCCCACUGCAUUUUCCUUUCUAUUUUUGUUGGCAUAUUGCUAAGAUACAUUUUUUUGCGUGGAUAUUGCCUUGGUAAGAAUCAAAGCUAAUGUGUAGCAGUGCCAAUCUAACUUUAGUGAUUGAUAUUAAUUAAUAUUUCUCUAAUGGCGUCAGUUUGUGAACUUGAAAGGGCAUACACAAUGAAGUAUCGCAAAGAAUUUUGACCCGAUGUAUUGAAUGCCUUUUCUGUGGUGCGAGGUUUUUAUUUACAAAAGAAUGCAUAAACUCAAUAUAUCACUAGCUUUUUCCACCCAUAAGCUUUGCAAUUUUUGAAAGUCGAUAAUAUCUUUUUGAAUAUUUCACUUAUGGAACUAAGAAUGUUGCAAAUUUUGAAGUUUCACAGGUUCUUUAUAUUCUUGAAGUCAAUUCGUAUCUAGCACAAUAGGUUCUCAACUUAAAGCCGUAUACUAACGACACGAAAUGUUGAUGUUCUGGUUCAGUUUUGCUCUUGGCACCUUUCAGUGGUAUUUUCCUUUGGUCUGGCCUAUAAAUGGUAAGAUCUCACAAUGUCAUGAAGCAAAGAAAAAAAAAUGUACCGAAGUCAGUAUUGAACCAAAACAUAUUUGAUUAAGAAUAUGGAUCAAGGCAUUUUAUCCAAAUUCACAUUUUAUGCCGGGCUAAUGUUAUUAUGUCUGUGGGUAGGUAGCUUAAUAGUUCAUAUCUUUGUUUUAUUCCAGAGACCAAUCUCAGACAUUCCUAAGCUGUUUGAAGACACAGUUUGCAUCCUGCAUAGGACCAUCUUCCAAUCCCAUACUGUUGGAGGCACUGGUUCUCGUGGUUCUGCAAAGUGUACAAGGAACACAACUUCUUUGCGAGUCUCCUAUUAAGCAAAUCAUUUGGGAUGAUCUUCCUCCUCUGCUACAAACAGUUGCAUCUUGUAAUAAUAACUACGCGGUUGAAACCGCUGAAUGCGGGAGAACUUUUCGUUCCAAAUUUAUUUCAGUUCCUUCACCACUGUGUGAAGAUUUCGAAAACGCCAAAACAUGCGUGGAUGAGGCGAGGCAAAAGUUCUGUUCGUUCAACAAUGACUCUCGCAAAACUCUCAUGGGAAAUUUCAAUCCAUUUUGUGACAACAGAACGAGGCCCCUGUUUACAGACGUUGGAAGUUGUCUCAGAACUAAGUACCAGAUAACCUUUCUCAUGUUUUUUGUCCUUUUGUUAGGAUUUUUAACGUAAAAGAUUGCUUGCGAUAAUGGCGAACUUGGGAAAGGUCCCCGGUCACAUUGUAAGGCACAGAUGUAAGGCUGGGAGGGCCGAGGUUUUCAGAAAGAAAAGCUUCUUUCCAACCUUUCUGGCCCUUUCUUAAGUACAAAAUUAGGAUCCAUGGUCUCUUCUCCCAUCACCCAUCACCCACUUACAGCAUCUGGAUCAGAUUACAUCUGGAUCAGUCAUCUCAAGUAUCAUUGGUUUAUCCGUGCAUUGAUAAACGUGAACUUGCGUGCAAGAGUGUUCUGCAUUGUAAAUAAGUAUUUUACUUAUGUAUUGUAAAGCGAUAUUGUAAAUGAUUAAACAAAAGCACUCAAGUGAACGAGAAAAAAAAAGAGUAUUAAUAAUAAUCAGCUAGUAUAAAUCUACUAGCGUUC